GGCGCUAUCGUCUAUCGGUUAGGACGUGAGAUUUUCAUUCUCAAAAGCGGGGUUCGAUUCCCCGUAGCGCUA
rnacentral:tRNA from 1 species